rnacentral:rRNA from 1 species
UACGUAGGGUGCAAGCGUUGUCCGGAUUUAUUGGGCGUAAAGAGCGUGUAGGCGGCCUGAAAGGUCAGCUGUGAAAACUCGAGGCUCAACCUCGAGACGUCGGUUGAAACCAUCUGGCUAGAGUCCGGAAGAGGAGUGUGGAAUUCCCGGUGUAGCGGUGAAAUGCGCAGAUAUCAGGAGGAACACCGGUGGCGAAGGCGGGUCUCUGGGCCGAUAUUGACGCUGAGGAGCGAAAGCGUGGGGAGCGAACAGG